GGCCCAACUUUCAAGUAGAAAAGACUAGUAGUAUCAGCUGACUCUACUUAACUAUUCUAUUUCGAGUUUGUGCCC
rnacentral:pre_miRNA from 1 species